rnacentral:rRNA from 1 species
AUGUUGAACAGAUCGACCUGUGCAGUAUUAAAGCUAACGCGUUAAGUAUCCCGCCUGGGGAGUACGGCCGCAAGGUUAAAACUCAAAUGAAUUUACGGGGGCCCGCACAAGCGGUGGAGCAUGUGGUUUAAUUUGAAGCAACGCGAAGAACCUUACCUGGCCUUGACAUCCUGCGAACUUUUUAGAGAUAGAUUGGUGCCUUCGGGAACGCAGUGACAGGUGCUGCAUGGCUGUCGUCAGCUCUUGUCGUGAGAUGUUGGGUUAAGUCCCGCAAAGAGCGCAACCCUUGUCCUCAGUUACCAGCACGUUAUGAUGGGCACUCUGGGGAGACUGCCGGUGACAAACCGGAGGAAGGUGGGGACGACGUCAAGUCAUCAUGGCCCUUACGGCCAGGGCUACACACGUGCUACAAUGGUGCAUACAGACGGUUGCCAAGCCGCAAGGCGGAGCUAAUCUGAGAAAGUGCAUCGUAGUCCGGAUUGGGGUGUGCAACUCGACCCCAUGAAGUGGGAAUCGCUAGUAAUCGUGAAUCAGAAAGUCACGGUGAAUACGUUCCCGGGCCUUGUACACACCGCCCGUCACACCAUGGGAGUGGGUUGCUCCAGAAGUGGCUAGCUUAACCUUCGGGAGAGCGGUCCCCACGGAGUGAUUCAUGACUGGGGUGAAGUCGUAACAAGGUAGCCCUAGGGGAACCUGCGGCUGGAUCACCUCCUU